rnacentral:rRNA from 1 species
UACAGGGGGUGCAAACGUUGCUCGGAAUCAUUGGGCGUAAAGCGCACGUAGGCGGUCUGUUAUGUCGGAUGUGAAAGCCCUGGGCUUAACCUAGGAAUUGCAGUCGAUACUACUCAGCUAGAGUAUGGGAGAGGGCAGUGGAAUUCCCGGUGUAGCGGUGAAAUGCGUAGAUAUCGGGAGGAACAUCAGUGGCGAAGGCGGCUGCCUGGCCCAAUACUGACACUCAGGUGCGACAGCGUGGGGAGCAAACAGG